AGCACCUUAUUAGCUCACAUUUUGAAGAGCCUUCUCUGGAGGAACGUAAAGGCUGUGAGUGUCACGGUCUCUGUGAGAGCAGCACAGACACGUCCCCUUCCAUGUUCAUGGAUCAACAGCCUUUCCUGGAGUACGUAGCUAAGCCCUUUCUCUAUACUUUUGUUUUCAUAAUCUGCAGAGAAAGAGCAAGGCUUUUUUCCUGCCUCACUGAGUGUGUUGGUUUAGUGCCUGUGUGUAGCUUAGCUAAGCCAAAAGAGAGUUGGUACCACUCAGAACAGCACUCAGAUUGUUGGGCUACUUGAGGAAAAAGUGUUUCUCAAUCACUCCUUUUGAACCCACUGCAUUUAACAUAGAAGUGCUAAACAUGAGUGGAAUGAGUGGAAAGGAAUAAAGAGCUUUGAUUUCUCAAUGCUGAUGAUGAAUGCUGGUGGUGAUGGGAACUCUGGGCUAAUUGUAUCUAUGCUGGGGAUUUUUUUCCUUCCUUUUUUUUUUUUCCCUUUCUUUCUUUCAUCCCAUAAUUGAACAAGCUGCUAAAAGAACCUUAGGAUUAAAUAUUGAACAAGAUGGUUCCUGAGUAACCGUUUCAACUAAUGCACCAGAGAGUUGUACAAGUUUUUGCUACACUUGUGUUGUUUAGGGAAUGCUCUUGAUAGGGAUUUGACUCUCCUGCCUGUAAACACACAGCUAUGAGCAACAGUUGGAAGGAUGGAGAGGCACUUUACCUGCACAUCAAGCUGGUAACCCUUUCUGGAUUGCACAGAUCCCCCUGGGAGGAAGCAUGUGACGCUGUUUAGUUCCCCCUGCAGAGGGGAUUCCCCAGGAACAGACCGUCCUACAGCAUUAACUACCUAAAGCUGACUUACCAUCAACAAAAGCUAAGAGAGGAAAAGAAACACAAACAACUAAAAGAAGGUGAAUAACAAACACCACCAAUUCCCAUUGCUGUCAUCAAUAUUGAAGUACUUCACUGAAGCAAAAUGUUACAAAGGAAGUUGGGAAUGGACAUUUAAAGACUUAAAAUCUACUGAAUUUUCUCCCCAGUUUGAUUGUUGGUCAUGUUCAAUGCUGAGUUCUGCAGGACUGACUUGGAAAUGCUUUCUUUUGACUUUGAUGCCUGGAGAGCCCAAUGACAGCAUGGAUUUAAGAAUCUACCUUGGCCUUUUGCCCCUUGAGACCUCAGUGAUGUGAAUGUGAGCAGUGCUCUGUGCAUUUAUGCAUGCUCGUGUCCUGGAGCCUAGAAGCACAAUUUCCCGUAAACAUUUCCAAGUUUGGAACAAAAACAGUGAUGGCCUGUGCCAUGACUUGAGUUCAGCAAGAACUGCCUGCUUGUGCUACGUGCCUUCAGGUAGGAUUGACUGGCUCAGUUAUCCUGCUUUAUGUGACUGCUUAAGAGAAGGCUACAGCCAGUCUCAUCUGCAAAAUGAAGCUCAAACUUUGUAUUUAUUCUAGCCCUGUAUUGACUGCAGUGGGAGUAUUAUCAUUAUAUAAAUGGAGACAAGAGGUUUUCACCCAGACUAUACAUAUGCAAAAAACCCAUACAUUAAGCUAGAACAUCCACUUCCUGAAAAUAUGGCACAGGAGAAGGGAGAGAACUGGUGUAGGUGUGAACCCCACACCUGCAUUUUGGAAAGGCAUAUUCCACCUAUCCUUCCAUCCAUCUGAUGAAGGACAGGAAUCCUGAGAGCUUUUUUGCUUUGCUUCCUGUACCUAUGGAAACAGAAAAACUAAAGAAAGAUGAACGACUUCUGUGUGAAAUUUCCUUCCAGGGAACUAACUGCAAAUUGCAGUGGUUAUUAAUACGAGUGAUUCAAGUCUAAUCAGGGAAAAGUAAGUAAAAACAUUUACUUUGCAUCCUACAAUCUAUGUUGGGGCUGGAAAACAAGAACUCUUUUUCUUUUUUUGGCACUUGUUUUCAUUUUCUUGACUUUGUUGUUUGUUUAUAGAAAAUAAUGGAAAAAGGGAAGCCAUCUCAGGAAGGAGAAAAACUUGCUUGUCACCUGGGAUAAGGAGAAUCAAAGCAAAACUUCCAAUGCUGUGGACGAGGAGAUGUGGUUGGAGAGGAAGAGGUGGCAUCACAAACAACAGGAAAACAAGGCUGUGAAUAUCAGGGAGCAUUUGGCAGUACCAAGAGGGUGCAGCUCAGAUGACACAAGCCCACAGCAGUCACCCUGUUUUUCCCAUUGAAGUGGAAGCAUUUGGAUUUCAGCUGGUCACAUUUUCUGUGCAGCGUUUGCACCAUCGUGGAGUUCACGCCCCUCAAGAGGGCCUUAGAUGAAACUGCAGAGAUUCAGUCAUAUUUUCUGGUUUUUACUACCAUGACACUUAACCCAAGGAAGAGAAAAGGAAGUGGGUCACAGGGGAGCAGAAAAGGCUGUGACUCUUGCUGAAAACUGCUCAGCAAUAAUGAAAACAUCCCCAAAUUAUCAGCACUGUUUCCAGCGCAAAUCCAAAACACGGCCCCACAGCAGCUACUGGGAAGGAAAUGAAGGACCCCAGCCCAAAGCAGCAUGCUGAGGUGUUUGCAUUGUCUCUUUCUACUUUUAAUAAUGGCUUUUUAUGUGACAGUGUGAUGGCUGAAAAGCAACCUGAUGCAGUGGCUACAUAAAUUUGGAAAACUCUUCUUGAAAUCUCUGGUAUAACCCGUGUACUACAGUGUGUCCAAAUGGAUUUAGUGUAUCAUAACGCUCCUAGAAAAACAAAGGGACAAAGAAGAUGGGAUUGCUAAGGGAGACAUUAGAUUUCAUUUCACACUGGUAAUAGUUUAGAGACGUGUGCUGAGCAAAAUGUGAUUCAAUUCUGCGGCACUUUUCUUUUUUAUUGCUGCUAAGUGAUUUCAAUAUCCAGUCUAAAGUGAUAUUGAGAGUGUUCGAUAGCAUGGGGAUGAAAUCAGGGAGCGCUGGAGGCUCAGAGGAGGCCACAAAUCUCAGGUUGACUCGAUGAAGCCUUUCGGAGCCAUCCCCACCUGACCUUAACCCAUCUUAUUUAACCUGGAGGCUGCUGUUGAAAGCAGAUGGAGAUUGCUACACAAACAAGGAGGAAUACCUGUAGUCGAUGGUCACAAACAUGGUUCUUUGGGGGCCGCUUCUCAAAGCUAAGGAGCUCCUUUCUGCUUCUGAUAAACACGCAGCUAGAAAAGGAUAGAAAACGAGGCCUGUGGACAUUCAUGCUCAACUCAUUCCCAGGGAUUAGGAUUAAAACCACGUGAAGUUACUUUGCUUAUUUGUAUUUUUAAUCCGAGCUGGGUACUACCACUAAUACUCAGUUCAUCAGUGCAGCACAGCUCCCUGCUGAAUUGGGAUGAGCUGGCGGAGUCAGCUGACAGAAGGAAGAGAGGAAUCCGUUUGGCAGCAGCACAGACUUACUUUGGUUUAAGGUGGAAGAAAGUGUUCACUCUUUCCAAGUGACCUAAAAGCAUCUGGAAAAGUGAAGAUAGAGGAUUGGGGUCACAAAAACUCCGUGUGGCUUUAGCAUCCUUGAAAACGCCAGGAAUGGAGUAAUUGGAUGACUGGUACAGGCUGUGGAUGCAGCUCUUUCAUCACUGCCCCCAGUGAAUGGAAUUCUUUCCCUUCUACAUUUAAAUCUAAUACAGACCUUCAGAUUUCGCUGUGGAUGGUUUCACCUCUGAGCUGAGCAGCAGCCCGAGAGAGCUUCACCUCUGCUGGCAUACGGAAAACCCUCUGAGGCUCCAGGUGCUGUGGAGCUUGUAUUUGCCUUCUGCAAAGUGCUUCUGGAAUUUUAGGAUGAUUUACAUCAACGUAUCCUGUGCCACUGCGCCAGGAGGAGUGAUGAGGGUGCCUGAAACACUCUGCAGGGACAAGGACACAAGAGAACCACACUCAGAAACCAGGAGGAGAGUCCCCACGAGGAAGCAAUAAUAUACAGUGCCUGAGUUAAGAGGUGACUGCUACCAUGGAAGUUCUCUAUUUCCUGCACUGUUUCUGGUUUGGUGCAGCCCUGGACAAUGUCAGGGAUGUGGUGUCACCACUGGAAGAUCUCAGGAAGGACAAUUCGAUUUUGAAGAAUGCCAAUGCUGUCCCACAUAUUGAUAAACACAUUAUACCAUUUAAACCAUGUCACUCAUCCAAAAGGAAAAAUGCCCAAUAAUCUGUAAUAUGAGGCUAUUAAUUUAUCCACAGAGGCAAUACUGCACGCACGGCUUGACUGAUAAGCAGCUUCUGUCUCCUGUGGUCAGUGGGACUGAUAACUCCAGGCUUCGUGACGGACCAAAUCCUUGCUCUCCCCAGUUCCUUGGAGCUGAAGGUGCUCACCCACACUCAGAGUUUAGACCCCCUGGCAUCGCGCCGAGGAGCUUGUGGAACCAGAAUACACGUCGGGCCCAUCUGGGUGGCCAUCACUCGCCCUGCCAGGGUCCCCGCGGUGAAGGCUCUGUGAGGGCCGCGGCUGCGGGGGCCACACAGACGUCACCGCGGUUGGAAUGGAUCCAUAGGGAUGUGUGUCCCCUGUGACUGAUGCCGGGGACAUGACUGCUGUGUGAGAUGUGCCUGUCUCUGGGUUUAGGGCUCGGGGCUCUCUGCGAUCCCGCGGCUCU